rnacentral:rRNA from 1 species
GACAGAGGGUGCAAACGUUGUUCGGAAUUACUGGGCGUAAAGCGCGUGUAGGCUGCUCGGAAAGUCGGAUGUGAAAGCCCUGGGCUCAACCUAGGAAGUGCACUCGAAACUUCCGAGCUGGAGUGCUGGAGAGGAAGGCGGAAUUCUCGGUGUAGAGGUGAAAUUCGUAGAUAUCGAGAGGAACACCGGUGGCGAAGGCGGCCUUCUGGACAGUAACUGACGCUGAGACGCGAAAGCGUGGGGAGCAAACAGG